UCCUUCGUUUUCGUAGGUUAUUUCCACAUCUUUGGGGAGGGUCACCUUGGCAGUGGGCUUUCUUUUCCUGCUACUUUGUCUGGUAGUGUUCACGUUCAUAUUUAUUUGAGAUUCUGCUUCCCUUUGUUGUUUCUCCUGGAGUUUGGACAAGUCUGCUAUUUUAACAUUCUUAUUGUUUCUUGUUCCCAUUCUUUCCUUUUGGGCUUUGGCUUUCUGCUGCUUUGCUUUCUCCCUUUUGUUAUUUCUGCUUUUGAUGUGAUCUCAGAUUGUGUUGAUGAGAGUUUGCUCUCCUUCUAUCUGAGGUUCAAUGAUCUCCAUACCAUCAUUUUCUUCUUUAUGUACCUGUGAGUUCUUCUCCAUCUGUUGGUGCAUUUGGUUGUGUUGAGGACCUUUGUAGUUUUGACCUUUUUUGUUGCUACCAUUUCCUUUUCCUUUCUUCCUUUCUAAUACCUGCCAUCCUUCGUAUUCAUUUUGGAUUUUCUCUGUUUCAGAAAUAGUUGCUUGGUGAUUGGGUGCAACCUCUUCAGUAGUCUUUGUUGGUUGUUGUCCGUCAUUUUGAGUCUGUCCUUGGCUUUCCUUCCUUUCAAUAUUGCCUCAUUUGUCACUUGCGACUUUCUUUGAUUGAUUCCUUUGUAACACUACUCUGCACUUAACAUUUGUGUGUCCC
rnacentral:lncRNA from 1 species